rnacentral:rRNA from 1 species
UACGUAGGGUGCAAGCGUUAAUCGGAAUUACUGGGCGUAAAGCGUGCGCAGGCGGUUCUGCACGACCGAGGUGAAAUCCCCGGGCUCAACCUGGGAACUGCCUUUGUGACUGCAUGGCUAGAGUGCGGCAGAGGGGGAUGGAAUUCCGCGUGUAGCAGUGAAAUGCGUAGAUAUGCGGAGGAACACCGAUGGCGAAGGCAAUCCCCUGGGCCUGCACUGACGCUCAUGCACGAAAGCGUGGGGAGCAAACAGG